rnacentral:lncRNA from 1 species
GGACAACAUGUCAUUUGUUUGUUAAAUAUUGCUUCAAAUAACCAACUUCCUUACUGCUGUUAAAGACAUCAAUUUUUUUGGUAUGAAAUCAUGAAUGAUUUUAUUUUGUUAACUAAACAUCGACUAGAAUAGAAAGGAGAUGACUUACAUCAAGCAUGUAGUUAGUAAAAAAAAAAGAAGAUACAUUGACAAUGAGUUUGAUUUGGACCUCGCAUAUAUCAAGCCAAACAUAAUUGCAAUGGGCUUUCCUUCAGAAAAUCUUGAGGGUGUAUAUAGAAACAAUUAUGAUGAUGUUG